GUGAGUGCCAUGCAAAACCUAUUUUAAAAUCCCCCCCCCCCCCCGGUAUUACUUUCAAAUCCAGCACUCAAACUAAAAUUCGUUGGAUCGAAAAUCGACAUCAGUUAGUCCAUAUACAGCGUAAAAGCAAUACACUAUUGUGUUUCUUCAUGUUGGAGUGUUCAAUUUUCUUCAUAGAUUCAUAUUUAGGUCCCUUCCUUGAUGAAUGGAAAACGACUCUUUUCAACCACCCGCUCUUUAUGCUAUGCAUCCUCGUGAGGUCAGGCCCCACCCACCACACGUCCUUCCCUUAUCUUCACUUGGGAACACGCAAGCCUUCCAUUUUCCCUCCCCCACAACGAAAUCACCUUUUCUAUUACUUUUAAUUCUCAUCUUUGAUCCCCGCCAUGGAUUUGCUCUUCAACCGUUCUUGCGGAACGUGCGGUGCCGCGAAGCGUCGACGACGAC
rnacentral:lncRNA from 1 species